AGAAACUUAGGUUACUUCAAACCAAAGGCCUUCAAAGCCUUAAACAAGAGCUACCCCCUCUUAGUUUCUG
rnacentral:tRNA from 1 species